rnacentral:rRNA from 1 species
CCUACGGGAGGCAGCAGUGAGGAAUAUUGGUCAAUGGGCGCAAGCCUGAACCAGCCAUGCCGCGUGAAGGAAGAAGGUUCUAUGGAUUGUAAACUUCUUUUAUUUAGGAAUAAACCCCUGGUCGAGCAUCAGGGCUGAAGGUACUAAAUGAAUAAGCACCGGCUAACUCCGUGCCAGCAGCCGCGGUAAUACGGAGGGUGCAAGCGUUAUCCGGAAUCAUUGGGUUUAAAGGGUCCGCAGGCGGAUUUAUAAGUCAGUGGUGAAAUCCUGCAGCUCAACUGCAGAACUGCCAUUGAUACUGUAAGUCUUGAAUUUGAUCGGAGUGGGCGGAAUGUGUAGUGUAGCGGUGAAAUGCAUAGAUAUUACACAGAACACCGAUAGCGAAGGCAGCUCACUAGGUUAUAAUUGACGCUCAUGGACGAAAGCGUGGGGAUCAAACAGGAUUAGAUACCCUGGUAGUCCACGCCGUAAACGAUGAUUACUCGUUCUUGAUAGCAAUAUCAGGGACCAAGCGAAAGUGAUAAGUAAUCCACCUGGGGAGUACGAUCGCAAGGUUGAAACUCAAAGGAAUUGACGG